rnacentral:rRNA from 1 species
AGAGUUUGAUCAUGGCUCAGAUUGAACGCUGGCGGCAGGCCUAACACAUGCAAGUCGAACGGUAACAGGAAGCAGCUUGCUGCUUUGCUGACGAGUGGCGGACGGGUGAGUAAUGUCUGGGAAACUGCCUGAUGGAGGGGGAUAACUACUGGAAACGGUGGCUAAUACCGCAUAACGUCGCAAGACCAAAGAGGGGGACCUUCGGGCCUCUUGCCAUCAGAUGUGCCCAGAUGGGAUUAGCUUGUUGGUGAGGUAACGGCUCACCAAGGCGACGAUCCCUAGCUGGUCUGAGAGGAUGACCAGCCACACUGGAACUGAGACACGGUCCAGACUCCUACGGGAGGCAGCAGUGGGGAAUAUUGCACAAUGGGCGCAAGCCUGAUGCAGCCAUGCCGCGUGUAUGAAGAAGGCCUUCGGGUUGUAAAGUACUUUCAGCGGGGAGGAAGGUGUUGUGGUUAAUAACCACAGCAAUUGACGUUACCCGCAGAAGAAGCACCGGCUAACUCCGUGCCAGCAGCCGCGGUAAUACGGAGGGUGCAAGCGUUAAUCGGAAUUACUGGGCGUAAAGCGCACGCAGGCGGUCUGUCAAGUCGGAUGUGAAAUCCCCGGGCUCAACCUGGGAACUGCAUUCGAAACUGGCAGGCUUGAGUCUUGUAGAGGGGGGUAGAAUUCCAGGUGUAGCGGUGAAAUGCGUAGAGAUCUGGAGGAAUACCGGUGGCGAAGGCGGCCCCCUGGACAAAGACUGACGCUCAGGUGCGAAAGCGUGGGGAGCAAACAGGAUUAGAUACCCUGGUAGUCCACGCCGUAAACGAUGUCUACUUGGAGGUUGUGCCCUUGAGGCGUGGCUUCCGGAGCUAACGCGUUAAGUAGACCGCCUGGGGAGUACGGCCGCAAGGUUAAAACUCAAAUGAAUUGACGGGGGCCCGCACAAGCGGUGGAGCAUGUGGUUUAAUUCGAUGCAACGCGAAGAACCUUACCUGGUCUUGACAUCCACGGAAGUUUUCAGAGAUGAGAAUGUGCCUUCGGGAACCGUGAGACAGGUGCUGCAUGGCUGUCGUCAGCUCGUGUUGUGAAAUGUUGGGUUAAGUCCCGCAACGAGCGCAACCCUUAUCCUUUGUUGCCAGCGGUUAGGCCGGGAACUCAAAGGAGACUGCCAGUGAUAAACUGGAGGAAGGUGGGGAUGACGUCAAGUCAUCAUGGCCCUUACGACCAGGGCUACACACGUGCUACAAUGGCGCAUACAAAGAGAAGCGACCUCGCGAGAGCAAGCGGACCUCAUAAAGUGCGUCGUAGUCCGGAUUGGAGUCUGCAACUCGACUCCAUGAAGUCGGAAUCGCUAGUAAUCGUGGAUCAGAAUGCCACGGUGAAUACGUUCCCGGGCCUUGUACACACCGCCCGUCACACCAUGGGAGUGGGUUGCAAAAGAAGUAGGUAGCUUAACCUUCGGGAGGGCGCUUACCACUUUGUGAUUCAUGACUGGGGUGAAGUCGUAACAAGGUAACCGUAGGGGAACCUGCGGUUGGAUCACCU